UACGGAGGGUGCAAGCGUUAAUCGGAAUUACUGGGCGUAAAGCGUGCGCAGGCGGUUUGUUAAGUCUGUUGUGAAAUCCCCGAGCUCAACUUGGGAAUUGCAAUGGAUACUGGCAGGCUGGAGUAUGGUAGAGGAAGGUGGAAUUCCCGGUGUAGCAGUGAAAUGCGUAGAGAUCGGGAGGAACACCAGUGGCGAAGGCGGCCUUCUGGGACGGUACUGACGCUGAGACGCGAAAGCGUGGGGAGCGAACAGG
rnacentral:rRNA from 1 species